GUGUUGACAUUCAAGAUUGUAGUUUCUACGGUGUUAUGAGUUUGUAAUACUUAUUACGUUGCUACUAUUCAUUCAUUUGGCAGACUCCACAGCUUGUGUAAAACAGUAGCAAUGACUGUAGGUCUUGAUGAGAGGAAGAAUUUUAUUUUGUCCACUGCAGGGAACUAUUUUCAACAAUCUUCCCCAUCUGACCAAGACGAAGGCUUGUGGAAGAAUGAUUUCUUGAACGACUUCCUUGAAGACGCAGGCUGUUUUAUUCUGACGGUGCAGAGCAAGGCAGAUUCUAGCCUAUAUUU